CGCGUCACGCGCCGCCCGCCCCGCCCCGCCCAGUGUGGGGCGGGGGGGGGCGUGGGGGUACGGGGUCGACCCCCUCCUUUCCUUCCCCCCACAUCUGCCUGCGCCGAGGGGCCGCAGCCCGCCCCCUCCGCUGCCGGAAGCAGGGAGGGAAGGGGGACACCGCGAGUCCCGAGGGGCGAGCGGCGGCGGCGGCCGCGGAGCAGCGGCCGAUCGUCCCCGGGGCCCCGGAGCGGCGGUACCGUUAUAGGCGCGCGGGGCGGCGCGAGCGCCUCCCGCACGUGCCGGCGGGGCGGGUCCCUGUGCCGCGCGUGAGGCGCGAGGCGCGGCGGGCGCGGUGCCGGCGCGGGGCGGGAGCGGGGCGGGGGCUCCGCGGGCCGGUGCUGCGCCCUGACCCCGGCGGGCUGCGCGAAUCGUGGUGUGGGAAAAGCUGGGAGGCUCCACUCUGGGUCAUCGGGGCAAAAUCCCUGCUCAGGCAGGGUCAGCCUGGAGCGCGUGGCUCGGGAUUGCUUCCAGGCUCUUCCUGAACAACAGGGAGACUCCACCAUCUCUCUGGGCAACCUGUUCACUGCGCCACUUGCUCACUUCUGCCCCACGCCCAAUGUGGGGGGAAACAGAGAAGGAAAAGCAAGGAAACUCCUAGGUCAAGGAACAGAAUAGCUCGGUAUGUGCAAAGAUGAGAGAAGGAAACCAGAGCAAGUGAUGAGUCAGUCACUGUCCACGCCCCAGGGGUAUGCCAGUUCCCAGGAAAAAGAUGGUUAAUUUCCCUCUGUGUCCGGGAGCGCGCUGUUACACAGCGUGGAGCACUGCUGUCCUUGCUUUAGUGGUGUCACCUGCUCCCCUAUUUGGCACUCCCAGUCUGUUCCAUGUGGCAACAGAGUAAGAAACAGAAAAGGCCUCGGUGCCGAUGCAGUUCAGCGGUGACAGCCCAUCCAGCUGCUAUGAAGAACAUUUAGUCAGGUCCAGUACUACAGAUAAUAAAAUAUCUAGUCAGGUCCAGUCCAGAUAGCAAAAUAUCUUAAGGGAGGGAGGGUGAUGGGGUUUUCCAGCUGAAGUGCAGUGUUGAUGGUAUCAUGUAAUGCUCAUUCAUAUAUUCAGUAGUAAAAAAAAACCACAACUCCCUGUGUCUUGGCCUGGAAACAGACAGGGAUCUGAAAGAGCUGGCCUUAAGUUUUUGAGAAGACUUUGCACAAAUGCUACAAAAAAUCUAUAAACACAAAAUGAUUUCCUCCUUCCAAAUAAUUGCUUGUGAAAAGGAGAUAUUUGGUAGAAAAUUAAUUUCUAUUCUGGGAAAAUAUUUCUAAAAUUCUUGGGGGAGAGAAGAGUCAGUCGUGGAGAAACAGUAACUGUAAAAGGCAGUAUCAGAUUUCCGUGAGAGGAGCAAAAAUGGUCUAAAUCUAAGCAAAAAGUCAGAUGAAUGAUGGGAGUAAAAGAAUUUUUAAAUUUGCUGUGGCUCACUGGGGCACAGGGUGAAGGCAAUGAUAGAGGUCUGGGUCCAUUGAAGCAAAGGGUUCCCAUGAUACAGCCUCUAUACGACACAAAACAGAUCUGUACUUCAUAAGGUUUUAGGUUUUGUGAUGUAUCCAUAAUUUUGCAUUCCUGUGACUUUAUCCUCACCUGUCAGCAUUUGUCAGCUAACUCAGCCCUUACCUAACCUAAAAUGGGUUAGAAUUUCUUACCCAUUUUAUAUUGUUUUUAAAGAAACAUUUUGUGGCGUAGAUUCUUUCUUGCUAUAUGUUUAAAUCAGCGCAGAUGGCACUGAGUGUAUACAGAAAGUUUGCAGGAAGAAUCCCUGCUGGGAUUCACAUUUACAGAGUAGGCUGCUUGUCAUCUCUGGGAACAUUAAGUGCACCCUGGACUGCUCUGUUAAAAACCUAUUCCGUGGGCAUCCAGGAAUGAGCUGCCAAACACCCAGGAGGAAUGGUAGGAUAGGGAGCUGCCGGGCUUCUGUUCCGAAGUGGAAGUAGGUGUUACUUGAUUGCAACAGGUAAUCUCGAGUGGUAACAAAUCGAUACAGAAUCAUAAAAUGAUUUAGAUUGGAGGAAGCCUCUGGAGUUCAGUCAGUUCAAAGCAGGGCCAGCCCUACAGUCACGCUAAGUUUCUCAGAGACACCCUCUCAGACUCUCCCCGGGUUUGGAGCUUUUGCAAUAGCUCCUCCCAAAUGGUCUCAUCAUGCCUUUGUUGUCAGCUCUCUAUGAGGGAUUCCACUGCUGAGCAGUGCUCUCAGAAAAGGGAACAUAAGUGAAUCAUUGUUGAUAAUUUAAUUGUUCUAUAAUGGCUCUGCCACGAUAGAAUCAAGAUUGCAUCGGUCUGUUUAUUAACUGCAUUUGACAGAGUGUCUUCACAGAUACAGGUCUCCCUAGGUAAUCUUAACUUUUGCGUGAUGCUCUUUGUUGCUGAGUAAUUUGCAAAGAUUUGCUAACUAUUUAAUCUUCUCUGCAGAAAUUCUCACUUUCAGACUGCUUUGUUGCAAAUGCAGUUUUCUACUGUGUUCAUAGUAGGACAAAAUAUUUCCAAAAGCACCCUGAGAUGCUGUAGCAAAAAUGCAUUUAUUUUGUAACAACAUUGCAGUUUCUUCAGUUUUCCAGUUCCCCUGACAAACCCACAUGCUACUAAGGCUCACAAUUAAAAAACAGCUAUUGAUGUACACCUGCUGGUAUUUUUUAACAUAGGUUUUUCACCCACAGUCUCUUGAGAAUCAGUAGUGUUUACUGCCAAAGUUCAUAAUUUGGACAACAGCAGGAUAUCUUUGCUUUUACACUCUUUGAUGGGAGUGUAGGUAAGAAAUCUUUAGAGGUUAACUAUUCUAGUACUGUAGAUGGAAAAUGCAGUUUUAUUCAGUUGGAAGUUUAGUUCUCCAGACGUAACAUGGAGCUUCCUUACCUUCUGUCUCUGAUAGUCCUUUGGUUCUCUCUGCUUCUUUCUCCUGUGUUACAGAAAGAUGUAGAAAUCUUCCACUGUUCAGUUGGGAAGAAACAUUCAGCUUCCUGCAAAUGAAAAGCCAGUGCCUCACACAAGACAACAUAAAUAAUAAUUGAUACCUCAAUGUAAAUACAGUAUUGCAGUGUGGCAUUUUGCUCCAAAUUUAGAGAAAUCCAGAUUUACCUAUACAACAGCCAAUCACUGGUAGUACUUUGUGCAGUGGACACCAUCCAGGAAGGCAUUACUUAUUAUUUUUGUUUUGUCCAAUAUUUAAAAAUAAAUGUCAUAAUGCUGUGAAAAGGGAGUGAGAAUCACAUAAAUCCUGUUCAUCAUGCCAGCUGUAUAUAUAUCUGGGUAAAAUGGUUUACAAAACUCCUCUGUGGAUGAAUAUAAUCACUUGUAUUUCAUAACGUAUUUCAUAUUUAAUACUACUUAAAGCUCACUCUACCAAAACUUAAAUUUGUGUUUGUAUAUACUGCUGAAUUAGGUUUUCAGUGAACAAAUUGCAAGCUCCCACACAAAAGCGUAGGAUAUUCUGCUUUUAGAUGAUAAAACCUGUUGUGCAAGACUCUGAGGAUUAAAUUCUCAUACUUGCAUGAUUGAUGCCUGUGUGUUAUCCAUAGAAUCACAGGAUGGUUUUGAUGAAAGGGACCUUAAGUAUCACAUAAUUCCAAGCCCCCCACCAUGGCCAGUGACUUUGUUACACACAUCCAGUCUCUCCUUUUGUUGCAGCUGAGGAGAGUAUUUAAAGUCUGAUCUAACUCUUACAGAAAUGAGUGAGAAGUAGAUCGUGCCAUGAGAAACAUCAUGCCAUACCAGUCAUAAGCACUUUCAACAAAAAUGCACUGAUACUAAUAGCAUAUUAUAACUGGAAUGAUUUGUGUCCUGCAAUUCCUGCUGUGAUCUAAGAAAGACUUUCAUGAUGAGGCUGACUCUUCCAAGAUAGCCUCUGAAACUGAUGGAUUGUUGUCCUAUCCCUACAGUCUGUAUCUCUGCAUUGGGUGUUCAGUAAGGAAGAUUCAAGAUGUCUUUUAAAGAACUUUCAAGGCUCACUAACAUGAUUUUUGUGUUAUGAAAUCUAUAUUCCUAGCCAUGCAAAAGUUUCACUUCAAAUACUCCUGUAUAUUGAGGGUUUUUGGAAACUGGAAGUUGACUCAUAGGAGAGAAGGUGCUCCUGUCUCUCAAGGAAAAGCAUUUCUCUGCUAUGGGGAUCACCCAGGAAAGUGAAUGGAUUGGAACUGGACCAGGACAGGUGCAAAUGCACAUUUUCCCUGAUACCCCAAAAGUGGAAAUAUAGAUCAUAGCAGAAAAUAAAUAGUGUAAGCUGUCACUUUGUAGUUUGAACUCUGCUACUCCACAGCAUAAGUACCAGGAAGAGAAUACAAUGAUUGAAUCUAAUGAGGAAGAACUCAGAAACCUUGAUGCCAUCCUUAGUUUGCAGUUCUCCUUAUGCUCAGGUGUCACUGAAGUACGCAUACCAAAGUAAAUUUUGGUGGCACGUGUUCAGCUGGCUAGGGAGCACUGAAUGCCAUGGGAAGACUUGUGUGUGCUGGAAUUUCAUUGCUUUCCUGCCUGGCAGAGGCAUAUCUGGUCAUUUCACAAUCCUUGUUUCCAGAUUACAAUUGGAGAGGACUUGAAAGUGUAAUUCCUAUGAGUAGAAACUCUCACAUUGGUUGUGUCAGCAGAAUGUUUGGACUAAAUCGGCAGCUGUUUCUGAAGUAAAUUGAACUCAAAUUGAGCUUGGGCAAUAAUUCGUCUUGGAAUUACCUUGUAAGUGAUAUUUGGAAAAGUAAAUCACAAUGGAAAAGUAAAUCACAAUCUUUUCAGGUCAAUUACUUAAUUUUGCACAAUCACAUGCUGUGAUCUUAGGUUACAAAGGUAUUAUGAAUGAAAGCUAACCAUCCAUUGUCUGAUACCUGUUCCCUUGCAUGCUCUUAGUACACAACAAAUAUGAAAUAAUGUGCCUUAAUUUAGCCCAUGGUGGAAGAAUUUUCAGUGUAAUUGCAUCAAAUUUGUGUUUCCUGAAGAAUAAUAUAAACACGUGGACAGGUGUUGUGUGUGUAAGAUGGUAUAACUUGUGCUUACUUAUAAAUCUCUGGACAACAGUGUGUACCAGUGUGUACUAGCAUGUGCCAGAUGUAAAUGUGCCACUUGAAGGUUUUGCCAGUUUGUGCCUUCACGCUUCCCCUCCGAUGCUGCCGUUACUGCAGCCGUAGCUCAUCUGGUAAAAAGGUUUGUUUGGGAGCACUUUCAUUUGCUUCAGGCUAAGCGAGCAGGUUGGUUUAAACCCUCUUUGUUGACUAAUCCAUCUGACUUGUUGGAAGCACACAAGGGAGUGCUCACUUAAUUCUUUCUGCCAACAGAGCUGCGGGGGUGGAAACUCUCAGCAGAGGAGUGGUAAGGAACAACUGGAAGAAUGAUAAUGUCACCGAGCAGCCGGCACACCUGUCUGGGAGCUGAGUGCCAGCACAUGACUUACUCCUGUCUGCACCAUGGCUAUUGUAGCUCUUCCAAACAGGGCUGUGCCUGUCCUCUUACACAUUCCUGGCUCAAAUCUCCUUCAUACUAAGUACUUUUAUACCAUUCUGGCAGUACAAAACAAUUUGAAAGCAUCCAGAGAUGUAAAAGCCGCCUUAUUCAAUAAACUGUGUCAGAAGGUAUAAUGGCUGAAUUUCAACUAUUAGUCUUGCAAAAUUAAAUGCAUCAUUUCCUUAUCCUGAAUGUGAGCUGCUCCUGUCAAGGACGCCACAUGCACAGGCAGCACCUGGAUGCAGGGUGGCAGUGCUGCCCCUCGGCCCAGGGACAGUCUGCUCUGGGGCUCUGUCACACUGAUUUUACCCUACUGGUGGAAGUUCACAUCCGGGGAGGGGACUCCAGACUUCAUUCCCAGUUUGUACAUUUUCUCAUGGUCAUGUGAAUGAUUUCCUUUUUCUCUUAAACCUAGAGGGGUCCAGUUGCCCACAGGCCUCUGAAAGGAGUUUUGUCUGCCUGGCUGUGAAGAGCUGUCCUUGCCACCCUCUUUCCAGAUGUGCCCUUCCUGUUGCAGAGCCUUCUCCUCUAGCUGCAUCAUCAGCUUGCCUGCAAGGCCCAUGGGAUGCACAGUGCUUUCCCUUCUUUCAUGGAGCCCCUGCACCGCCUUUUCCUAAUCCCUUUAGAUUACAUUUUCUUGUAUUUUCAUGUUGGAGUUCCUAAACAUCCUUAUGAAGAGAUUGUGCUUUAUCUACACUGUUGUUGUUAUGACUACUAACUAUCUCUUCUUUUGGAAAAUUCUGCUUAGUCUGAUCGUAAUGUUGUAGCUUCACAUAACUGGAUUUUGUUGUUUCUUUUUUUCCCCUUUUUUUUUUUUAUUCUACACAAGGACAGCCCUGCUAUUUGUUUCAGUAAGUCACCUGCAGCCUAAAUAAAUUUUUGUUCCAGAAAAGUACUUGAACAUGUGUUUACCUCUAGAUAGGUAUAUUUUCAUGUGCUUCCAUGAAGAAAGAACAUAGGAUUUUGCUAAAAAUAUAUAUUUUUCUGAAGUAGAACUGAAAGACCUGAUCUGAAGUGUGCUACAGGAGGCUGAAAUCUGCUCACUCAUUGUGGCCAACUGCUCAGACGAUGAACUGAUUGAUUUUUUUUUUAUUUGCGUGGCUACAGCUAUGACCAGUUUAGUCUUCACAAAUGCAAGGCAUUUCCACUUAGCUGCAACCCCAUUUAAAGUAAUUUAGCAUGUUUAUACCUAAGAUUUGUUAUUCUUUCUUAUUCACAGGUUUCUGAUCCUUCUGUCUGUCUGGGUUAGGUGCCUCUUCUGGAUGGCGGUCAGUUCUGAAAACAUCUGGUUUUCAACCUUUGCCUGACUGGAAAAAUAGUACAUUUUUGUUCUUUCAUGCCUUUUGUUUCUUUGGUGGGCCUCCAUAACAGUCCUGUAUUUUUCAGUCUGCAGCUUGGAUGGAUGUGCUUUAUCGGGCCGUGAAUGAGCUGUCAAAGAUACCCUCUAAUCAGGAAGGGGAUGAAGUCCUUCUGGGCACUUAACUGCAUUUUCCCUGUGACUUUGAUCAGUGCCCCUUCAGUCAGGUUACAGCCUCCUCCUAACACUCUGAGUGCUGACUUUGGGUAAUCUGAUGUAUGCCUCUCUUUUUAUCCAACUAUCCAAUUCUGGAUAAUCUUACACAUUUUUCCUACUUUGAAAAUUGUUAGUGGGCCAAUGGUACUUUCCAUCUUAAGCUACCAAAGGUCACAGAAGGCAUAUCUCUCCAUUCAGCCUGCCUCAUUAAUUGCUGAGCAGUUAUUAACAGUUAUCAUGGGCUGCAGAAUCUCAGCUGGGUGGGGUUAGUCCACAGUGUUAAACAGGAGUGACUUUGAAAAUUCUGCUUAUUGAAAUGUCCUUCUUGUAGGACAAUGUUUGUGGAUUCCUUUCUUGGGAGGAGAUAAACUAUACAAGCCAAUUAAUUAUUGGCAUACUUUGCUAAUCCUGCAAUUCUAUACAGAAGCCAUAAUUAUAACUGUAUUUGCUGGAGGGAAUUAAAAUGAUUCCUUAAAAUAUUGUAUAUAGGAUAGCUUUUUUCACUCAGAAAAUCAAAUUUAAAUCAAAAUUCCUAAAUCUGCCAGCAAAAAUGCUAAUGCCAGGUCAGUAAGGAACAGGGCUAGCACUCUCAAAUGCUAAUACUGCUGAACACAUUAUAGAUGUUGCAAUUUCUGCUGCUGCCAGUGCCAGACACAGUUGUGCAAAUAUUUUCCUCUGGCAGCCUGGCAGGCAAUGCACAGGCAUGGCUGCAGUGCCACUGCAGCAAAACACAGGCAGGGACCAAAGAGAAGAGGAAAGUGAAGAGAAUCACCUCUUUGAUACAGGUUCUAGGAGAAGGAGGGGCAGCCCUGGCUGAUGCCACCCUGCUCUGAUUUCAGUAAGAGUUUUCCUCAAGGUCACCACCUGCAGUGUCUCUGAGUUGGCCCUGAGCCCAGAGAGCCAAACCCUCAGGAAGAUGGGAGUGGGCUCAAGACCCUGACACUCCAUUUUGUCCUUAGAAAUAUCCCCUGCCAACUUCACCAACCAUUCCCUGAGCUAGUGCCCCCUUUUCUUUUUGUUUUUCCCAAAGCAGGCUAGUGCAAGCAAGGGAAGGACUCCACAGCAACGCUGCCUGCCUCUGCACUCCCUGAUGUACAUUUUCCCAAAGCCAAACCAUCUAAGCUCUCAGCUGUGCCAAAAUUUUUCUCUCCACACACAGUACUACAAGGGGUUCCCUUGCGUUGGUGGCCUUACACCUAAUGCAUUCCCCUAUCUGAAUCAGAAUCCUAGUAGGAAUACCCAUUAUUAUCUUGGAUACUCCCUUUAAGGCCUGGGAAAAUGUUGCUGAAAUAUUGGUCACUGUUCCCUUCAUUAUGGCAUGGACCUAAAGUGUGUCUCAGAAGCAUCAGCACCUAGAGUGCCACCCUGAAGUGGUCUUGCUCAACAUCCUUUUUUUUUUUUUUCCCUCCUCUUCCUCUUCUUUGUGGUGUGGACAAGCAGUUGUCCCAAUCUGCUACAUCUUAAUGUUCUGUGGGGAACAUUGUUGCUAAAUGGGCCUUUCAAAAAGGCAUCUCUUGUUUUCUCUAGGAACUCCUCCCCUCCCACAUCCCCCAUGUUUUAUAGUACUGCUAAAGUGUAAACUCUGAUGCUUUUUGAAAACCGGGUUUAGUCGGGAAAACUUCAGGUUUACCUCAGUGUAACUGCAAGGCUUUUCUGGAAGGUGUGAAUAAACUGGAAAAUAUCUAAUUGUUUUUGUGUGCCAGAGAAUGUGUUAAAGUAUAGUACUGUUGAGAUUAAAUCAGUGGCUAAGAAAAGACUUCAAGACUUCAAGAAAAUCUUGCAGACACAUCUGUGUCUGUGUAUUUUCAAAAUUACAGUUAGCACCUUUGUAAUAAUUUGAUUUAAUCUAGGGAGGCCACAUUUUCAAAACCAGGUGCUAAUGCUAAUGCACUUAGCACAGGUCACCCAACCUGUGUCACAUCAACGCUCACAUCAACAGUUCCAUUGUGUUUUCAAGGACAGGGCAUAAAGUGUCAGCUCUUGAACCAGAAGUCUCUGGAAGACAGAAUUGGUUCUCAGAGAAAUUACUAUUGAAGAAUUUACAUGUCCAUUGCAGUUUACUUGGUGUGAAUGCACAAACCCACAGUCAGUUCAGUCUACACUUUGGGAGCAAUUCUGGGUUUUGUGCUGGUACCCUAAAAGCAGCUCAUGAGGCCAGUGAUAUUUAAUCAUUCCUGGCCAGGACACUCCUGUGUUCGCAGAUCUGUUGUGCUCUAUUCUCAUAUUUCUUACACCUCCUGGUUACAGCACAGCUCCAUGCUAUUUCUGCUGGGGGUUCUUGGCACCAGGGAAAUCCAUGUGGUGUAGGAAGGCUGUAGCAACUCUCCGCAACAGCAGAACUUUUUAAAGCAUGCUUGAUGCUUUAUUAGUAGGGUUUUUGCAUUGGCUUACAAAUACUGAUCAAAAUUUGGAAGCUCAAUGUUUUUAGGGUGCACUAUCAUUAGGGGAUAGAUAGGGCUCUCCAGAGCCAAGGUCUCAAAAUGCUUAGGUAGUGUACCCCUAUCACUAAAAAGCUUCCAGCAUGCAUUCCCAAUAUAUUUGUAUUUUUUAUUUAUAAAUUGUGUAUAUAUAUAUAUCUCUAAUGUCAUCAUGAUAUAUUAUGUACAUUAGAAAACAUAAAAUUAAAACUAAAGAAGGAUGAGCUAAAGAUAAAAUUAAUUAAUUUAUUUAUUAAUGGUACAAAAAGUAUUUUCUUGGUGCACCCCAGUGGAUUAUCUUUCAUACCCCUUCAGUCCACACAACCUGUUUUCAAAACCAGUCAUCUAGAAGAUGGACUAAAAUUCAAGACGAAAAAAACAUGACAAAAAUGAAGAAAAAAAAAAUUACCCCUGGGCCCUAAAGUGUCUCCUUAUUGCAGGUGGUUUGAAACUUUUAAAGCCUGGUCCAAGACUAUGGAAUUAAUUCCCUCAGGAGCUAAGACAAUUGCAAACAUCAUCAUCCAAAUGUAAACAAGGUUAUUUAACCUGCCUUUAUGACAUAAAUACAUUGCAACAUAUACAUUAAAGAGAAGCAUCCAAAUUAUCAAAGCAAAUCCUCCUACAAACGUCUCCCCUGGGGCAGAGGAAGAGAGAACAAAGGAGGUGUUGCUUAAUGCACUACUGGAAAGCAAUUGGGUGUUGCUGCAAUGGGGUGUGAACAUGAAUAGACUGGUAUGUGAUAGAAAACCGAAUCUGUUACUGUUUCUACUCAAUUAAAAAACGGCCCAAUGUGAAUUAAAUGUUCAUUUCAGGUCAGCAGGCAUUAUAUAUCCAUUUUUUAAUUGGGUACUACUUGUUUUGGAUUUUUCUAUUGUUUUCUUCCGUUCGCAGAGGCAUCCUGACUGUAGAACCAUGAGUAAAUUACUAUAAAUCAUGGACUCUAGCUGUGUCUGGCUGUAAAAUAACCUAAUUUCUUGAAUUCACUUCAAGAGGCUUUCUUGGGUAAUAUUUCAGUACAGCUGGAUUGCUUUAUUGGCACAGCUCUAAAUAUAGAUCAACCUUUAAAUUGCUUGCUUCCAAAAUUGGUUCAAAAAGUAUUCUGAGUUGUAAAUUGAAUUAAUACACAGGACAGUGAAUCCCAACCUUGCUGGAGGUACAGUACUGUCUUACCUAAGGGUGACAUUUAUUCAUCUUUGAUGGCUGGCAAAUUCCUCUAGAUGUUGUAUGAGGUGGGAUGAAACUGGAAGCAAGAAUUUCUCCUGUAUCUUUUGCACAAGGAAAAGUACUAGAAAACACAAGUUGCACGCUCCCACCUUGUUUAUAUACAAGUCAUUCAGCCAUGAUCUGUUUUCCAGAUGCAUGUAGGCAUGGGAAGAGACUAACUUCAUACUUCAUCCAAUGCUUUCCUGAUUAUGACAAGAAAGCAGGCCAGGUUUUUGAAAUUAUUAGGGCUGGCUAGAAACUUCUGUUCUACAUUGGAAACUGUACUUUCUGGAAAUAAAAAAAAUUGAAAUUUUAUAGGCAAUUUUUUACUUUGUCAUGGUAUCUCUAUCAUGACAGAAAUGACAUCUCUUACUGCAGCACAGGGUUUUCCCUCUGACUGCCCUGGCUGAUAUGUUAUGAAAGAUGUAGUUUGUUUUGUUCUGCCAGUGGGAAAGAAUGGGACAGCUUUAAUGGAAACAACAAACUCUUUCUAACUAUGUAGCUAGAUGGCAAUGAAAAAUAGAAGUCCAAUGCUGAGAUGACUGGAAGAAAAUAUUUUUUGCCUUGUUUCAAUGUGAUUUUCUUCCCUGAUGUUUCCUAAUCAAAAGCUUUGGAAUUUGUGUCCUGUAUCAAGAGGAGGUAUCUUGAAACUUCUCCAGGAGGUACCUUGAAACAGAACCUGUAAAAAGUUGAGUACAGCUACUGAUAUGUUUGAGGAUAGAAGAAUAACAAUUGGUGAAAAAUACAAACAACUUGUUUGACACUGCAGCAGAAUUUAUGUCUGUUAAUAGAUUCAGAGAAUCACAGAAUUGUUUGGGCUGAAAGGACCUUAAAUGUUGUCCAGUUCCAACCCCCCUGCCAUGGUCAGGGAUAUCUUCCACUAGACCAGAUUGCUCAAAGGCCCAUCCAACCUAGCCUUGAACACUUCCAGAGACAGGGAGUUCACAACUUCUCUGGGCAACCCUUUCAAGCAUCUCACAGUGAUCACCAUGAAGUGUUUAAUGGUAUCCAGCUUAAACCUCUUCCAGUCUAAGAAUGCUGCCUCUUGUCCUGUCACUCACAGACGCUGCUAAAGAGUAUCUCACCAACUUUUUCUGUAAGCCACUUCUGAGAACUGAAAGGCCACAUUAAGGUCUCCCCAGAACCUUCUCUUUUCCAGACUGAGCAACCCCAGCUCUUUCAGUCUGUCUGCAUAGGACAGGUGCCCCAGCCCUCUGAUCAUCUUCGUAGCCUCCUCUAAAUCCACUUCAAAUUUGGUCUUGCCUUUUGCUGAAGUCUUAUCCUUGGGGAUUACUAAGUGCUUUUUUCAUGAAAGAAAUGCAGGAAUAUCAACUGUCUUUGGUAUCAUGAAAGAGGAUGAAAGGAAUAAUGACACUUCCCAGUUUCCUGAAGGAAGUCUGAAUUUAGCUUUAUGUAGAACAAAUCUACCUUGACAAGUAUUGUAUAAACCUAUCCCUUAACUUUUCUCAGGUAUUAAAUGCUUCUGAAGCUAAUCUGAGUGUGAAAUAGGGCAUUUUACUAUCAUUUCCAUAAUGUGGUGUGUAAUAGCUCAGGAAGUAUAUUAGCAACUUGCCUCUUGUCCACUCUUUUAUAAAUAAUGCAUGUUUUGUAUCAAAGCCAAUAUUUUAAAUCUACCAGAGACAUGGAAGGCACAAACAAAUGUUCAUGUGGGAAAACAAAAAUGCAGGAUUAACUGUGUUAGUAUGAACUAUUUGAAUCCUGAAUAUAUUAAACCUUAUUUGUGAGCAACUGUUAACUUUGCAAGUGAAAGGUUAAAGCAAAAAAUGAGCUGUGGUAUGAUGGCAAGUAGACUGAAAGAUUUGUGAUUAGAAAAAGUAUGACUUUCUAGUACUUCUAGAAGCGUGCCUGAAGAAAUCAGUGAAUAUUAUUGAGAGUUACCAUAUUGCUCAAAGGACUGUUACAGAAACAUGUCUUCUUUUUUUUUCUGAAAUUCUUGGCCAAAGCAUCACCACUAGCCUUAUUUGGUUAUAUUUCUCAAUUUACAGAUUUGCCUGUGAAUUUUUCUACUCUUUCAAGUGAAUUAGUUAUUUGAUGUUUGUGCCAUGUUUUUAAGACAAAGCUACCUACAAUGAACUACAGUAACCAAUGACUACUCCUUAAAAUCUAAUCUAAAUUCUAUUUUUCAUAACUAAUCUGCAAAUGAGCCUCAGUAAUAGUAGGAUUUUACACAGUGCAAAUGUUGCCUCAGACUUCUGGAAGUGUCAUUGCUGAAAGUUCCUGCAAAUCUAAUAUCAAUUUGGCCUUUACCCUCAUCUUAAAAAAAAAGUCAUAUUGUCAAGUUAUACAGGCAAUAAAAAACAUACAAAGUUUCCUACUUUUGUUCCUUCAUCUAUCAGCAAAGAUGGUUUUGCACUUUAUACUAGAAGGCUUUUGGCUGAUGUGUGCAACCCAACAGACACAGAUGCAGACUGAGUACCUUGACCUGCAGCUAAGCACAGCUGUUGUUGGAGCUGGAAGCACAGGCACAGAAUGUUCUAGUGUUACAUGGCCUGGAGAGCAUGUUGAACCCGGUAGUGCUCAUGGGGAGAAGAGGACUGCAGCUAGACCCUGCUCCUCUUCCCCUCCAAAUACACAAAUCCUUGGGCAUUGCUGUUGAUGACAAUAAAUAGCUCUUACUGUGGUCCUACUGUUAUGUUCAGGAAGAACAAAAUUGCAAAUUUGAGUGUCCUGUUUCAAUUAUGCAUUCAAAGGCAGGAAGUAUGGAUAGAUAUUCAUGUUACUGAAAACAAGCAAAGGCUUAAACAGACAAUAUUUCAGCUGCCCUUUGAUCCCAAUGAUUGUGAAGCACCUUCAUCAGUCAGUAUGUGGACUCACAAAGUUACUGUGAUGUUAUCACUCAAGGUCCCACUCUGUAUCAUGGGAUAUAGCACAUGUGCUGCUGUUUACACAGUUUACAGCAAGUUUUCAGCUCCAUGUCUUUAAAAAGUGACUCAUGUUUUACUGUGGUACCCACAUAUGACUUGCCGGCCCUCCAGGCAGCAGCAACCUGCUCCUGAGCUGGGAAGGUGCUCCUAGUACCCUCCUCCAAUGUUAGAUGAUGGAAUUACCUGGUUUGCCUGCAAGUUCUGAGGGUGCUGUUAACACUAACAAAUUUUCAGGACAGUGGAACUGCAUUUCUCUGAGGUUCUGACUCUACACCAAAACUGGGAAUUAGCGUGGACAAAAAUCUCACAACCUGCAUCUGAUGUCUUCAGUCUGUUACAUCACCAGCAAACCCCUGUGACUUGCCUUCAGAGGUCAGGUAUCACUGCUGACACAUCUCCUUCCUGUCCUGGAUGUCAGAUUUAAAUCCUUAAGAGAUACCAGGAUAGUUACAUGCAGGAACAGGUCUGGUUCCUGUCUGGAUCCAUGUAGACCAGAAGAGAGAAUAGAGAUGUGAUGAGCCUGCAGAGUGUGUCAGCAAACACUGGUGCACUUGGAACCUUCUGCUUUAGGAUCAGCAAAGGUAGACAAGAUCUCUCACAGCAGCUAACUACACUUCUACACUUCAGAUGCUGUAAUAUCUUCCCCUCCUUUUUUUUUUUUUUCUUUUUUCUUUUUUCUUUUGCUGUGGGCUCUUGCAAACUGCCUUCAGCAAAGCUGGCAAAUAAUGUUUUAUCUGUGGCAUCCAGCAUCUGGUCUCCACUAGGAAUGUGUGGCCUGUGUAGUCACAAGCAGAAUGCCAUAUCUUUCAAGAAGAGUUUUGGCCAUUGAAUUAGACCACUUGUGAGUCAACUCCUUUUAGAUGAUACCACGUACUAGAAAAAAUUCUGUAUGGAAUUCUCCCCCAGCAUGCUUGUCCUAGAAUUUCCUGCAAAUAACAUGGUGACCUUGGGUAGGCAGAAUAGACUCUGUGUGUCUUACUGCUGUGAUUCUUUGUCUUCAGUCUUCUUGUUUCACAUUCUGGCAUCUGUGACACUCCUUAGCAUUGACUGGUUCCUGUUUUUCAUCUUGCUGACACCUUUGGCUGUUGAAUGGAGCUGGAGAAAGUCCAGGCUUCACCCUGGUGCCUAAUUCUUCAAAUCAAAUCCAUCUUCUCAGGUUUGGUUUAGGCUUUUAUUUUUGGUUAAUGAAGAUAGUGAUACUUAUAUAGCUAACAAUGAUGUUUGCUAUCUUCACAAAAUUGUUUCUGCCUUUCUUCCACUCUUUUCCAAUGCCUUUCUUUUGUUUUCAGUCUUCUGUUAUACACAUGCAUUUUGCUGCAUUUUUAGCUAUUAUUUUUUCUUUACUGUCUGAUCUCUUGUUCUGUUUAUAACCUAUGUCAAAGAUUUGCCCUUUAUGUUCUAGUGAGUUGCCCUGGUCCCAUAUCCAGCAAAAUUCUAAUAAAGUCUUCAGCAGGCAGAAUCAGUGUAAGAGUCUCAGUCUGUCCGCAGGAAGGGAUCCUUGCUAAAAGAUCUUUGUCAGGAAGAGAAUCCUGUGUCCCUGCUGCUCCAGUGAUUGAGAGACUCCCCAGACACCUUCUCAGUUUUGUGGCCAUCUCAGUUCAAAUGCAAAGAUGAACGUGGCCAUGUGUCCUGUGACACAUUUUCUUUAGCAUGGACAAGUUCUUCUACACCUUUCCUAUUUUCAGAGUCUUGCCAUUGAAAAAAACCCAGCUUUAUUUAUGAAUGUGAAUCUGAGUAUUUUCUGCCCUGUCUUUAUCUUCACCCAGUGGGAAGGUGAGUUCUUCCUUUUUCCAAGAAGAAUCCAUCAUAGGCUGAACCAUCACUGCGUAAGCUUCCUUCCUUCCCUCCUUCCUUCCUUCCUUCCUUCCUUCCUUCCUUCCUUCCUUCCUUCCUUCCUUCCUUCCUUCCUUCCUUCCUUCCUUCCUUCCUUCCUUCCUUCCUUCCUUCCUUCCUUCCUUCCUUCCUUCCUUCCUUCCUUCCUUCCUUCCUCUUUAGAACUUCACCAUUUUCAGUCUUUCUUCAAUGCCCUUUCUUCUCAGAAACCCCCCUGAGCCAGACUUUCUUUUAAAAUAUUUUGCUGAAGAUGUGAUUGCAUUUUCUUUAGAGUACUUACUUGAAUAAAUUUCUCAUUUAUUCAUAUGCUUCUCAAUCUUUCAGCUGUUACCAUCUGUCAUGGGCUGCUUAUGUCCACCUUUCCCUUAGCUAGAUAAUGCCUUUUAUUUACAUACACCAUCUUACAUUUCUAACUAGUCCAUCUCCAUGACCUGCACUGAUAAAGCUUUCUCUGUGUGGUUAUGUUCCCUCUCUUUUCCUCUCUUCACAGACAUUCUUCUGAUAUAACUCACUCCAGAUUUUCUUAAGGCUGUUUUAUAGGCUGUUGGCGCUUGAGUCUUCUUUGAUUUUCUAUCAUUCACAUGAGCUCUUCUACAUAUUUACAGUUAUUUUUCACAAAACAUCUGGCUCCCCUAAAAUCUGCAUGCUAUAACCUGUUUAAAUAGUUAGCUGUUGCAGCACUACUAUCCACAGCAUACUUGCCCAGUGAAUAUCCUGCAUUUGAAGUAAAAUGUUUGCAUGAUUUGCAAAGGCUUUGACUUUUACACUUGUAAGCUGUGGUCCAUUGUCUACCACUGCCAUUAUCAGUGUGCUAUUUCUGGCAAAUACCUUGACUGUGACGUUGAUUAUAUGCUCAUCAGCUGUGUCAUGUUUCUGGAUAGAAGAAAUCAUAACUUAGAGACAGCGAAUAAAUUUUUUCCACAUGCAAUCACAGACCAGACAGCCGCUCUGCAAAGGCCUCUCUGUGGUCAAAGCAGGGUCAGCUAGAGCAGGUACCCCAGGACCCCUGGGGUACCCCCAGACUGGCCUCCAGCUGGGGCUUGUGCCUCCCAUCACAGCUCUCUGAGCCCAGGUCGUGGCUGAGGGACAAAUCUGCAUACCUCAGUACAAAUACUUUUUCUAGAACAGUAGUGUACACAGCACUAGAUUCCAGUCUUUGCUCUCACACUUUUCAAGUCACACUUGGUAGCAGCAAAAUUUUAUCCAUUUGCUGUUCAUCUCCUUCUUGAAAAUUUAUGGGGUUUUUUUCCCACUAAAUUAUAUUUAGUAUUGUUUUUUCUUGUCCUUAUGGGCCUGUCUGGCCAUGGCGAGUGCUCUACUCCUGACACCAAGGGAUCAGGAUUUUUUUGCUGGUACCCAGGGUGUCCUAACUGGCACGUGAGACAUCCACAUACACUGAUGGAUAAAGCAUGGGGUCUACAGGACAGCCAUGCCCUAUGGGAGGAGUAGAUGGCUGUGGUGUUCAGAUACUCUUUGAACAGAGAGAGACAUAAUUCUCUCUCCCAUAAUUUUUCCUGGGAAAAGCAGGGAGAAAGCUCAGAGAGAGAAGAGAAAACAAGUCUUAUCUCUAUUUGCUGCUCCUGUUGUUUGGCACAUGUGGAAUGUGUUAUGGAGAUUGUUUACUGAAUAGUGAUUUGUUAUUUGGACACUGGUGAUGGUUGCUUGAUUGAUUGACCAAUUAGGUCAAAGCUGUGUUGUGACUGUCUUGAAAGGGUCACGGGUUUUUUUUCAGUAUAGUUUCAGUAUUAGUAUGAUAGUAGUAAUAUAGUGUAAUAUAGUAUAGCUUUAAUAAAGCAAUUGCUCAGCCUUCUGCAUCAUGGAGUCAGAGCACGUUAUUCCCUGGCUGGGGGACAUCCUGCAUCGAUAGAUGGGGGUCAGAAGAACUCUGUAGGACACUCUGAGGGAAAUAAAUUACAUGUUUAUGCAACUGAAUGGAGUCCCUAUCACUAAACGCAUGUUUUUCAACCCUUCCCACUUGCUACAAUGACUACAAGCAUUUCUUUCCCAAAAUAACUGCUCCCCACGCUCUGUAUUGGUGGUCUAUAGCAGCACACCUGGAUUUUCUUCACAAAGUCUGGAUGGUAACUGCAGAUACCAGAACAACCUGCCUGAAGUUUUUGCAGAAAAUAAUUUUAGUCUUGUAAAUACAGCAGCUGUGGGGAGCUGGGUGCUGCUGAUCUGAGCCUGUUUCUAGGCUGCAGGCAAGUCUUUAUGCUUAUGUUCUGGCAAAACAAUCUUCUUGCCUUGUGAAACCUCUCCCUGAGCUUUCACUUUUGCUCUAGCUGCAUAUGCUGUGUAUCAAUCUGUGGUUUGCUAAUUUAAACUGCUGUUUGUUUAUCUCCUUCGUCCUUCAGAAUUUGCUUUGGGUCUUUUGCCACGCAGCAAAGCACACAUGCCUGCUUUGUAGAGAAAAAAAAUUAAAUCCAGGUUUAAGUUAAGAGCUUUUUUUUGUCUUGAUUCUCUCCUUCAUAUUGUUACAGAUGACACAGAUCUGAGAGCACUGAACCAAGAAGUAGUUAGUCUGUGGUCUAUUCUCUCUCCUCUCUGCCUGCCAUCCAACAGGAGGUGGACCCUGAAGGACUGUCCUGCUCACCUCUCUCGCACACUAGGGAAUGGGUGGGAGAUCACAGAAUCACUUGUGUUGGAAGGCACCCUAGGCACCAUCUGGUUCCAACCCUCUGCCAUGUGCAGGGGCACCUUCCACUAGACCAGGCUGCUCAGAGCCCAGUCCAACCUGUUCUUGAACACUUCCAGGGGUGGGGCAUCCACAACUUCUCCGGGCAACUGUUCCAGUGCCUCACCACCCUCACAGUAAAAAAUUUCUUCCUAAUCUCUAAUCUAAACCUACUCCCUUUCAGUUUGAAUCCAUUCCCCUUGUCACUACAUUCUUUCCUGAAUUGUUGAUGGCCAAAGCUCAGCCUGACUUAGGCAGGGAAAGCCCCCAUUAGUCUGGUAAAACAAAAGCAAAACAGGAAAGCGUGGUGAGCUGUGAUGGCCUUUGGUUCCUCAUUUCUCUGUAUGGCAGGUAUCUGUCCCAGCCUUGCCUGGGAACGAGAGAAGAGAUCACAUGGGAUGUUGCAGCAGUGUAUGCUGUCAAACACCUUCGCUGAGGAAAUGCAGGGUAGAUAGUGUAGAUGGGCUGACAAGAAUGACUUCAGUAAGUAUCUGUUAACAUAAGCCUGUAGCUAAAGCUGGGCUUUCAGCAUAAACCAGCUGAUAUAAAACUUUUAGCAUAUUUGUGUCAGAAGGGCUACUGCAGCCAAAAAGGGAAAAAAAAAAAGAAAUGUUUGCCUGAUCAGCUUCCCUUUCUGUAAAUAGAAGAGGUCACUACUUGUACAAUUUGAACUGAAUGCAGGAUGUAAUAAUUCUAAAUGAAUAAUACAUAUUUAGUCUAAAUCUCUGCUUAGAGAGAGGUUUAAGUCACACUUCUCAAGGUUUUCUUAUCUGCAGUGAAUGGCAAUAGGUGGAUAGGACAGAGGGAUUCCUUUACCAGCAGUAGACACACAUUCUUGUGUACAAAACAGGUGUUGCCCAGAGUUCCUGUAAAUAAAGGAAGAGUUUCAUUAUUUUUGUCACUGGAAAAACAUAAGGCCCUUGAGCCUGAUUUUCCCCUGUAAUGUCAGGAGAGUGAGAGUUAUCCAACCCCAUCUCCCGGUGCCACAGCCUCAGCUGUGACACUGUUUUGAAGAGAAAUUAUGCCCAAUUCAUUUCUCUCAGUAGCAGCAGACAUUUUGCUGCUCAGAGCUGUUUUAAUGAGUUACAAUUUGAGGUCCAGCAUAUCCAGCCUCCUGCUGCGCUGCCCUUCUCUUGCCAUGAAAUACUGGCUGAGUUGCUGAGGGUGAAACUCUGGUCUUCUGCAUUCUUGCAGUUUUUUAAAGUGGAAAGAUGUGAACUGUCCUGGCUGAGAUUUUGAGGUAAUCUUCCACUACAGUUCCCUUCAGCAAAUUGUACAAUUUUAACACCAAAUAGCUGACAAAGUGGUGGUUAACAGGGCUGUAAAAAUGGUCUGUGUGUUGUAAAGGCAAUAUGGUACCAGGAAUUUAAGACCUUUUCUUAUGAAGACUCUCAGCCAACUGUUAUCUUACGGAAAAAUAUCAAUGGCAACAAUUGAGGCUGAGCAAAGCCAUCCCAGGGGGUCCCUGGAAUGCUGGCUCCCCAGGCUGGUGGCAGCUCCCCAUGGCAGCUGGCUCCCCAGGCUGGUGGCACCCUGGCCAGCGCGGCGGCUGAAGGGAGGAACUCAGCCUUGCAGCGGCUUUGGUGAGGAGGAGUCGCAAGGCCAUGUAUUACUGCUUUGCUCAGAAGAUGACAGCGGAGCCUGGAACAUUUCAAUUUCUCUUUAUGUAUACAGGGCAUGAGCGUGAGCCACAGACAAAAUGGUCUUUAUAAGGCAACGAUUCUGGGGUGUCCAGAGCAGCGCUAAGGGGAUGACCCGUGCUCUGCCACAGCCAUGGCCGGCUGGAGGAGCCCGGCACUCCCCAGCACUCAUUUAUCCCCAGGGUGAAACUGGGGCUGGCUGGGGUGGCUGGGACUGCAGCAAGGUGGGGGUGUUUGAGUGGUGGGGGAGCUCAGGGUCCUGCAGAUCAGCAUCCUGGCAGCCACGGUGCAGAAGGAGCCAAGACUGGAUUGUAGCUGAGGGAGGGUGAGAGAAAAGCAAUUUGCAACCUAAAUUCUUGGCAGCAGCAGAAGCUGAAUGAAAUGCUGUUGGUGUUGCUACAGUGGUGGUCUCUGAGCUGUGUAGAAGCCAUGAUCCCACUGCAUUUGGAGCUAAAUCCUUCCCACAUGACUGGCUCGCUGUCUUCUGCCCUUAGCCUGUGCUGUGGCCACUUAUACAGAGGGAAAGUACAGGGCUCUGCUGGAACCAUUUUUUGUCCCUGACAGGUUUGGAUUGGUCUCAGUAACCAGAGGUUACAGUCUUUUCUCAAAGCUAUUUGGUAUUAGUCACCCUCAAAGUUUGCUGUCCUUGUUGUGUGGCCAUGGUUUCUCUGCAUGCAUCUGUGCUCUGGAGCUGCCUCCCUCCUCUUGCACAUCCUGAGAACUUUAUGGCAUGCAGAGUCCAGACCUACAGACUACCUGGGGUCUUUUCCCAGAAGAUAAUGUGUGCUUUGAAAAGAAAUCCACCUUAGACCAAAACAGACAUUUUCACUGAACUUCAGGCUGUGCUGGAAGUCUGCAAAAGACAGAAGAAUGUUACAGAGAGAAUUUAGUACACACUUAAGUGAAACAAAAACCAACAAACUGUUCAAGAUCUGUAAGCAGUGGGAACUAUGUAUACAAGAUUUACUUAUUAUGUUUCAGUUCUCUGAGGCAGUGCAAUAUAUCUGCAGCUAAAUCUCAAGUUUUAUAUCUUCCUCAUGUUGAGAGGUUGAAUGCAUCAUAAUACUAUUCUGCCAGGCGUGUUUUGGAUGAUAAAAGCAGCAUAUGAAACCUGGGGAGUGCCACAGGACUGCUUGACCUCAGACAGUAUGGUUACCUGGACAGAGAAGGUGUUAGAGCUGGUGCUUUUGUUGAGUCAGAGAUGUGGCAGAGAUGAAGUGGCUGGGUGCAUUCAGUGUGUGGUCUUCAUGAGUGGUAAAUGGUGUGAAAGAUUCUUCGUAGGAUCACAGAAUAAACUGAGUUGGAAGGGACACACAAGGGUUACCAAGCCUAGCUCCUGGCUCUGCAUGGCUCCAUCCCCUGCACAUGACAACAAGUGCCUGAGAGCAUUGUCCAAACACUUCUUGAACUCUGCCAGGCUUCGUGCUGUGACCACUUCCCUGAGGAACCUGUUCCAGUGCCCAAACACCCUCUGGGGGAAGAAUCUUUUUCUAAUAUCCAACCUAAACCUCCUCUGACACACCUUCAGGCCAUUCCCUUGGGUCCUGUCACUGGUCACCAGAGAGAAGAGAUCAGUGCCUGCCCCUCCUUUUGCCCUCACAAGGAAAUUGCAGAUUGCAAUGAGCUCUGCCCUCAGUCUCCUCCUGGCUGAACAGCCCAAGUGACCUCAGCCCUUCCUCAUUUGGCUUCCUUUGGACACUCUCCAAUAGUCUUAUACUGUUAUGUUGUGGUGCCCAGAACUGCACACAAUAUUCAGGGUGAGGCCACACCAGAGCAGAGCAGGACAAUCCCCUCUGUUGCCCUGCUGGUGAUGCUGUGCCUGAUGCACCCAGGACACAGGUUCCAGAGCUCUUUGGGGAAAACAUAAAAGCCCCUUAAUACCACUGCCACUGUAAUUUUCUGGCCUUGUCCGAACUCACUUUGUAACAUUUGUUAUUCACAUUUCUCAUUGUAGAUUGCAUGUUCUUUAAUGAGAUUCAAGGGUCUGUUCAGGGGAGUAAAACACCCAAACUGGAAACCUAACUGCUCUCCAUGUCAGAAAAUUAAAUUCCCACCUGGAGAAACAGGUCAGAUUCAGCAGAGUUAGAUCUGUGCAGGUUCCCAAAGGACUGAAAACAUAAACCACUUAUCUUUUGUCACAGGAGUUUGUAAAGAUUCUGAGAAUGGCUCAAGAAAGUUCAGCUCCUGUGAGAGGGAGUCUGGGGUGUUUCAUUACUGGGAGUGAAUGAUUCUGCAUUUACUCAGCCUGGUUUUAUUAUUAACUUCAGCAGAGUUAAUCCUGAUCCACUCCUACAGAGGUAACAGCAGAAGCAAAAAGUUUUGCAACACUUGAGACUAACAAAAUGCUCCUGAACAUAUUAAUGGAUGUGAGUUAAUACUGAAGAGCUAAGAGUACUUGCACAUGUAGCAAUGCUUCCUACCUCAUUUCAUGGAAAAGUAAAUAUUCCCAUUUUUCUGGUCAGAAGAGGGACACAAAGAGAUUCAGCAACCUGCUGAAGGCGAAGGUGGCAAUUGCUGGAAGAGCUUGAAAUAAGAUUUUAUUUCUUGUGACUUCUGAGUUCACUGCACGUAGAGACAUUGCCAGUAUGUCAGGACAUGGAUCUGCUCUGGUUAAGGGUGUGGAUAACCACCCCCUAACAGCCCUAAUGCAGGUCUGCUGUGAACUCAUGACUGCUUUUCUGUUGAAUUACCCAGUAAGGUUAAUGCCAUCUGGACAAGGACAGAUUACACCUGAUCAAGAAAAAAAUCAAAAAUAAAAGAAAGCCUUUAGGGACAAAACUGCUCCUUCAAACCUCUUUUGAGCAUACUUGAACUGGCAGAAGGAUUUUGCACCAUUUCAACACGUUUUGUCAGAUAGCUGUGAGGCAUUUCAGCUGGCAUCAGGAGCCCUCCCAGAGGAAAUGGCACCCCAUGGAGUCACGGCUGGGUGUGACAGCCCUGGAAGCUAAGGAGCAAUCAAAUGCCAAUGAUGGUUUUUUCCAUCUGUUUCUCUACCAGCAUGCAACAGGAAACUCGCCACCAUUGCAAGGGAAGCAAAUUUGUGUGAUCCUCUCUGUGUCUGAGUGUCCCUGCCAUCACCUUCCUUCAGCCCACUGCCUGCUUUGAGCACACCUGAUAGAAGGAUAUGUGUCUCAAUACAAAAUUAUUUUCCUGCACAACACCAUAUAAAUAAGCUACCAGGAAGAGGAGAGAACUGAAUACCAAGUGACCUCUGACGGUUGAAUCAAACAGGUGAGCUUGGUGGAGAGCACAAAGCUGACAGCCAUGUGUUCCAUGAACUGAGUCAAGAUUUUAUCUAUAGAAGACAGCUAGACAAGAAACAAAAAUCCUCAAGAUAAAGGAUGCAUUAGUACACUACAAAUGGAACCUGUUGGGGAAGAAAUGAGGCAAUUAACGUAAUGAAAAGUGGAUUUAAGGUCCACAUUGUUUUUUAUCAAUAUUUUGUUCUUAUAAUGUUAUAAUUAUGGGGUUUUUCUCCAAGCUGCUCCACAGAUUAGAGGAGGAAGGUGCUCAUUUAGAUUGUCAUAUCCCCACAGAUUUUGAGAUAGGAAGGUGCUUAAAGAGACCAACUGUUUGUACUUAAUUAGAAGUCAAACUAGCUAACCUAUUUACUCAGGAAAAUAAGUGUUAAGGAAGGUCUUUACUGAUGAAAAUCACAUAUUGUCAACUGACUGUGUGUUCCUUCUCCAAGCAUUGAAUUUUUUUAAGGUAGAACAAAGGCACUCAGAGUGUAUUUUGAAGAGAAAAAACCUGAAGUUUGAGAGAGAUAUUUUAGGUUACCUCCUUCACUCAGCACACAUGCUUCUAUUUUAGUUUCUCCAGGAAUAAAAUUAUACUGAGACACCAAUCCUUCUUUCAUUCUUCAACUCCUAAGCAGAACAAAGUGGACAGACUAACCAUGGAUAUGGUCCUACUACCUAAUUACGGUCUGUCAGCAGCAACGCAUUCAGCAGAAGUUUUUUCUGAUGUUUGCACGUGGCAGAAGGACAAUCAGAGCAGCCUUUACAAUGACACUGCUUUGGUCUUGAUCCAGGGCUCUGCAAACUCUCCACGGCUUCGAGGGCGUAGCUUUCCUUCUUGGUAGUUGCUGUCAGUCUUUAAUCUCAGUUCAAUAUACAAUAUACAAGGUUCAGAGCUGCAAAUGCUGCUGAUAGUUCAGUGGGGAGAGGUACUAUGGAUGGGAAGGAAGAGAGGGAGAAAGGAAGGAAGCGAGAAAUUAGAGGAGUGGCAGAGGAAGGGUAGGAGGAUAAUAACUGGUUCACUGUUAUUAGAUUACAAAGGCAAGUGCUUAGACAAGGAAAUAAUUUUACUGCUUGUGCCACUGUAAUUAUUUCUCCUCUGUGCAUGCUUAGGAUGGUGCUGAUUUGUCAUAACCACAAUUAAAGCAAAUAACUCAUGUUCUCCCUUAUAGGGCAGCAUAAAAUAAAUUCAAAGAGAACAAAACUGCAAUUGGACAGAUCUAUUAUUUCCUGACUUCUAAGUGCCUGAAUUUACCAUCCAGGCAUCAGUAGUUUUAAAUAGCUUGAGUUUACUGAGUCAAUGCAGCUUGUAAAGCUCUUGGGAUCAGAAGAAGGCAGAGAAGCCUCUCAAGUACCAUGCCAGGAAGCUUCACAGCCAAAGCAGUGACAGCUGGAGGUGGGAAUUGGAGGCUGCUGUCAGUUUUUAGAAGAUUGAUGUGUUUGCAGAGCAGGACAUCAUGGCAGUGGCAGAAAAGAAGCAAUCUUUCAUCACACAGUAAGGAGUCUGAUGCAGAAAGCAACACCUGAACAUCAGUUCUGCUUUGCCAGAAGCCAAGCAGCCCAACUCCCAGGCUAUCACGAGGAUCCCUCUGACCAGCUUCCACUGGUCCCACAGGUUUCAGUUGCUGCCUGGCUUCCAAAGAUCAGCCACGAGGGUGUUCCCCAGAUGGCACUGGUUAAAGAGCUGCUUAAAGAUCUCUUCUGACAUGAGGUUCAGUCUGUGGACUACACAGCCUCUAACUCCUGCACUUUCAAGGACAGUAACUGAGUUUCAGCUGUGCUCUGCCUGGCACCUGUCCUUGAAGGAGGCUCUGUGGACAUGAUCCCAGGUGGAUGAAAGGGCAUGACUUUUUCCAGAGUUCUGCAUGUUGCCUGUGAAGGAAGCCAACAACACACCCAAGCAGGCUGAGCUGCUGCUGGGGUGCACCCAGCCCCUGUGGAAUGCUGUCACAGGAGAGGGGAGUGCCUGAGUUGAUUGCUCUGCAAUGAUUGUGCAGAGCAAUAUGUCACAUGGAUUGGAUUGCUUCCUAGGGCCAAGUGCUCGAAAGUAUGGUGAAGUGGCAUCUAUAUUCCACCUCUUGUUUUCUCCUUCCCACAGAACCUUUCUUACAGGGCUUGCCAAAAGGAGAAGACAGUUUCCUUUCCUGCAUUUAAAAGGCAUAUGGGCUUCAGUGUGAGCAGAAGAAGAAACUUAGCUAAAACAGUGUUUUCUUAUUCACCAUGUCAUUCCUGAAAUUUGGUCUUGCAAUGUGUUUGUAAGGACAGUGCUGCUGUUCCAUGAACCAUUAAUGCAUUCAAGUAACUUUGAGGAGAAAGGGUGGGCCUUAAGGUCAAAUGCAUUCUGGAGUUAGGGCCAGCAUUGAGGAAACCACCAAGGCCCUAGAGAGAAAGCAAAUAAAUUGUGUAAAUGAGUGGGCGAGGCUUAUCAGUGCAGAGAAAUACCUGAUGGGGGAAUAUAACAAAGACCAAUAAUAUGACAUGAAAGAUAGUAAUAUGUCUAAUAUUCACAUCAUAACAUUAUGACAUAAAACAUAAUAAAAAGACAUAAGAACAAAUGACAGAGUUAGACUCUCAUGAGUAGUGUCCAGUGAAUGGACAAGAGGAAAUAGGCACAAAUUGAAAUACAAAAAACUCUGUUUAAAUAUAAUAAAGAACUUUCUUUACUGUGUGGAAGAUCAAGCCCUGGCACAGGCUGCCAAGAGAGGUCUGUAGUCUUUCCUUGGAGGUAUUCAAACUCCAAAGAGACAUUGUGCUAGGAAACCAGUUCUAGGUGACUGCUUUGAGCAGGGGAUUGGAAGGGAAGACCUCUGUGAUUCUGUGUCUCUGUGAAAUCCACUUACAAAGCAGGCGAAUGUGGAAGGGAAGACCUCUGUGAUUCCGUGUCUCUGUGAAAUCCACUUACAAUGCAGCCUUAGCAGCACUGUCCCCAGCAACAGCUAAAUCAUCACACUGAGAGUCUGGAAGCCACAGGUUGAAUGCUGAAAGGCAUCAAGGCACACUGGAAAUCCUGCAUUAGUGAUGUGAUAUAAUGCAUUCAUUAAAUAGCUUAUGAAGAAUUGUGGUAAACAACAGGCCAAAGAUCUCUUCUGUCCCUCUGCUGUGGGAUUUGCUUACUAGUAAGUAACACAGAAAAAUAAUAGGUCUAUGUACUGAUCAAAGCAUCAUAAGGCAGAAGUGGAAAUCCAUGCUUUGGCCAUGAUCCUGGGCUUAAGUAUCUGUACACACCAAUAUGAUUCCUGCUUAGCCUUUCGUGAAAUACAAGCAGUGGGAACAGCAGAAAAUGCUUUUUUAACAAAUGCUGCUAUGGAAUAUUGUGCUUAAAAUAUUACAUGUGUAUUUUCACAGUGACUUCUUGGGCACAGCUCAGUGGAAAUUUUGCAAUAUUUCAGUGCCUGCAGUUUGUGAGGCAGAAUCAUCAUUAGUUAAGGAAUCUUGAACUGGGGUAAUUUUUAAUGAUGUAUUUAAAUGAUAGUAAAUUUAGUGGAGCAUGCAUAUAUGAAUAAAAUCUGUAUAUCCUCUUUUUUCA